UACAGAGGGUGCUAGCGUUGUUCGGAAUCAUUGGGCGUAAAGGGCGUGUAGGCGGUUUGUUAAGUCAUGUGUGAAAUCCCUCGGCUCAACCGAGGAAAGACGCAUGAAACUGGCAAGCUAGAGUACCGAAGAGGGGGGUGGAAUUCCCGGUGUAGCGGUGGAAUGCGUAGAGAUCGGGAAGAACAUCAGUGGCGAAGGCGGUCUGCUGGGCCGUUGCUGACGCUGAGGCGCGACAGCGUGGGGAGCAAACAGG
rnacentral:rRNA from 1 species